GUCUACAGCCAUAAAUCCCUGAACACGCCCAACUCAUCUGAUCUCGGAAGCUAAGCAGGGUCGGGCCUGACUAGUACUUGGGUGGGAGAAUAGGAAAUCAUAGACU
rnacentral:rRNA from 1 species